UCUAGCUUAAGGCCCUCAGCUGCUAUAGCUAAUCCAAAAUUCCGCAUAAUUUUAAUUAGGCCUAAUUUCUCAAUAAUAAUAAUAAUAAACAAAGUGACGUUAUUAUUUUAUAUGAAUAUACGAAUUGCAAAUUAAUACUUGGUUGCUCAAAUUGGGAAAUAGAACUGAUAAGUUGGGAAUAUUACCAUUAGCGUAGGGCACAUUAAAAACUAAAACUUCGGAUCCGCAAAAACAAAAAACCUGAUAACAGAUGAUCCCAUCGUAUUGUCGGCAGAGCAUAAAUUCUGGAUCAGACGGACAACAGUAUCAGUUUAGUUAGUACUUCUGUUCCAACUACUUCGAAGAUGAAAUUCCUUCUGGUUCGGCCUUUUGGCUCUGUGCAGAGCUAUUCCCGAUAUCAUUAUCAAUGGAGGAGAUUGCAUUGCCUGCAGUGACUAUAGCGGCUCUAACAAGAGCGGGUCCCGCCCUAAGCUCAAAACAAUUCUUUAUCAGUUGAUUAUGUGGUUCUUUGACCUAUUUUAAUAAAAGCUCACUUACUAAUCUCUA